CAGCCGUAAACUAUGCGCGUUAGGUGUACUGGUGACCACGAGUCACCGGGGUGCCGAAGGGAAACCGUGAAACGUGCCGCCUGGGAAGUACGGUCGCAAGGCUGAAACUUAAAGGAAUUGGCGGGGGAGGCACCACAACGGGUGGAGCCUGCGGUUUAAUUGGACUCAACGCCGGGAAGCUCACCGGAUAGGACAGCAGAAUGAUUGCCGGGCUGAAGACCCUGCAUGACUAGCUGAGAGGAGGUGCAUGGCGUCAGUGACU
rnacentral:rRNA from 1 species